rnacentral:rRNA from 1 species
AGAGUUUGAUCCUGGCUCAGGAUGAACGCUGACAGAAUGCUUAACACAUGCAAGUCAACUUGAACUUCGGUUUGGGUGGCGGACGGGUGAGUAACGCGUAAAGAACUUGCCUCACAGCUAGGGACAACAUUUGGAAACGAAUGCUAAUACCUGAUAUUAUGAUUUUAGGGCAUCCUAGGAUUAUGAAAGCUAUAUGCGCUGUGAGAGAGCUUUGCGUCCCAUUAGCUAGUUGGAGAGGUAACGGCUCACCAAGGCGAUGAUGGGUAGCCGGCCUGAGAGGGUGAUCGGCCACAAGGGGACUGAGACACGGCCCUUACUCCUACGGGAGGCAGCAGUGGGGAAUAUUGGACAAUGGACCAAGAGUCUGAUCCAGCAAUUCUGUGUGCACGAUGAAGUUUUUCGGAAUGUAAAGUGCUUUCAGUUGGGAAGAAAAAAAUGACGGUACCAACAGAAGAAGUGACGGCUAAAUACGUGCCAGCAGCCGCGGUAAUACGUAUGUCACAAGCGUUAUCCGGAUUUAUUGGGCGUAAAGCGCGUCUAGGUGGUUAUGUAAGUCUGAUGUGAAAAUGCAGGGCUCAACUCUGUAUUGCGUUGGAAACUGUGUAACUAGAGUACUGGAGAGGUAAGCGGAACUACAAGUGUAGAGGUGAAAUUCGUAGAUAUUUGUAGGAAUGCCGAUGGGGAAGCCAGCUUACUGGACAGAUACUGACGCUGAAGCGCGAAAGCGUGGGUAGCAAACAGGAUUAGAUACCCUGGUAGUCCACGCCGUAAACGAUGAGUGCUAAGUGUUGGAGGGUUUCCGCCCUUCAGUGCUGCAGUUAACGCAUUAAGCACUCCGCCUGGGGAGUACGACCGCAAGGUUGAAACUCAAAGGAAUUGACGGGGACCCGCACAAGCGGUGGAGCAUGUGGUUUAA